CGGGGUAUGGCGUAGUUUGGUAGCGCGCUCGGCUGGGGGCCGAGAGGUCGCAGGUUCAAAUCCUGUUACCCCGA
rnacentral:tRNA from 4 species